rnacentral:rRNA from 1 species
GACGAACGCUGGCGGCGUGCUUAACACAUGCAAGUCGAGCGGUAAGGCCCUUUCGGGGGUACACGAGCGGCGAACGGGUGAGUAACACGUGGGUGACCUGCCCUCAGCUCUGGGAUAAGCCUGGGAAACCGGGUCUAAUACUGGAUAUGACUCCAUGACGCAUGUUGUGGGGUGGAAAGCCUUGUGCGGCUGAGGAUGGGCCCGCGGCCUAUCAGCUUGUUGGUGGGGUGANGGCCUACCAAGGCGACGACGGGUAGCCGGCCUGAGAGGGCGACCGGCCACACUGGGACUGAGACACGGCCCAGACUCCUACGGGAGGCAGCAGUGGGGAAUCUUGCGCAAUGGGCGAAAGCCUGACCCAGCAAUGCCGCGUGCGGGAGGAAGUCCCUCGGGAUGUAAACCGCUUUAGGGUCUAACAAGCGAGUCGGU